rnacentral:rRNA from 1 species
CCUACGGGCGGCAGCAGUGGGGAAUAUUGCACAAUGGGCGCAAGCCUGAUGCAGCCAUGCCGCGUGUGUGAAGAAGGCCUUCGGGUUGUAAAGCACUUUCAGCGGGGAGGAAGGCGUUAAGGUUAAUAACCUUGGCGAUUGACGUUACCCGCAGAAGAAGCACCGGCUAACUCCGUGCCAGCAGCCGCGGUAAUACGGAGGGUGCAAGCGUUAAUCGGAAUUACUGGGCGUAAAGCGCACGCAGGCGGUCUGUCAAGUCGGAUGUGAAAUCCCCGGGCUCAACCUGGGAACUGCAUUCGAAACUGGCAGGCUAGAGUCUUGUAGAGGGGGGUAGAAUUCCAGGUGUAGCGGUGAAAUGCGUAGAGAUCUGGAGGAAUACCGGUGGCGAAGGCGGCCCCCUGGACAAAGACUGACGCUCAGGUGCGAAAGCGUGGGGAGCAAACAGGAUUAGAACCCGUGUAGUC